rnacentral:rRNA from 1 species
UACGGAGGGUGCAAGCGUUGUCCGGAAUCACUGGGCGUAAAGGGCGCGUAGGCGGCUCGGUAAGUUCGCUGUAAAAGUCCAGGGCUCAACCCUGGAAAGCCGGUGGAAACUGUCGAACUAGAGUCCGGAAGAGGCGAGUGGAAUUCCUGGUGUAGCGGUGAAAUGCGCAGAUAUCAGGAGGAACACCGGUGGCGAAGGCGGGUCUCUGGGCAGUAACUGACGCUGAGGAGCGAAAGCGUGGGGAGCGAACAGG